GAAGAAAGAUCUUUUUAUUUUGUGCAGGAAAAAAGGUAUUUAUGGAAUAAUGGUAAGUGUGAAUAGACUGAAAAGAAAGGUUCAAAACAACCAAAAUAGGGACUGGCAUAUGUGCAGGGAAAUUUAGGCAAUACGUACAAGUCCAGCGGUGAUACAGACACUGCUUUUACAAUCAAUUGAAUCCCUCUGGCAGGUGAAAACUUUAUUUCUUUCACACCACCUUUCUGUCAUUAUAACAUACUCUCUCC
rnacentral:lncRNA from 1 species